rfam:Pan troglodytes isolate Yerkes chimp pedigree #C0471 (Clint) chromosome 19, whole genome shotgun sequence.
GCAUAACCCUAAUAUCACCCUGAAUGUGCCUGGUCUUAUCUGAUCUUGGAAGCUAAGCAGGGUUGGGGCCUGAUUAGUACUUGGAUGGGAGACUGUCUGGGAAUACUGGGUGCUGUAGGCU